GGCCAGGCGCGCGCGCACCGCCCCCUCGCAGUCAUUGGCCGGAGCGCGGCGGCCCCGCCAUGGCGGCCGCGGGCUCAGCCCGGUCCUAGCGCGAGCAGUGUCGCGGCCCUGGCGCGGGGGGCGAAGGGGGGCGGGGAGGGGGCGGCUGUGCCGCCGCCACUGCCAAGCGGGGGAUGGGCCCACACUGGCCCCGGGCGCGCGGCCACGGCUCUGUCCGCACCCCGCACCCGAGGUUUCCGCUCCAGAGGGGAGAGGACCGCGGCGCGCACACACAACGCCUCUUAAAGGCUCCGCGAGAGGCUUUGGAUGGAAUCGAGGACUUCGACUCUCGCAACUUGGCGAUGCCACCAAAUCCGUUGUUCGCGCACCACCCGGGACUCCCAGCGCAUCUUUAUGCCCACAGUACCAGAGAAAGAAAAGUUCCCCGGUUUCUUUGCAGAGGGGUAGUGGGUGAGGAUGGGAAGGUGCCUCGAACCGAGCUUGCAGGCAUUUUCCAAACGAAACAUUUGGUCAAAUCCGGGUGAUGGUAGACCCUUCCCUUAGUCUACUCUGAUCACUUGCUUGGUUUGGUGGCUAUUUUUUUUCUUCCAUCCUUCCUUCCUUCCUUUCUUCCUUUCUUUCUUUCUUUUUCUUUCUUUCUUUCUUUCUUUCUUUUCUUCCUUUCUUUCUUUCUUUCUUUUCUUCCUUCCUUCCUUCCUUCCUUUCUUUCUUUCUUUCUCUCUCUCUCUUUCGUUUUUUUAGAGAAAAGGAGCCGUCAGUGGCUGUGUUUUCCUUGUAGGGUUAACAUUUCACAGGAAUGUGGCCUGACAUUUUAAUUGCUCAAAUAAAGCAUCUCGGAUGCUGAGAAGCAGAAAUAGACUUCAUCUCAUUGUCAUGAUGCAAUUAAAAUCAAUUUUCUUCAACUUUAUCCUCUCUCGUUAGUUUCAGCUAACUCCCAAGCCCACGUCCUGCCACACACCCAGUCGUGGUGAGAGGUGAAAAGACCUUUCUGCCCGCUGAUGGACAAGCGGAGGCAGCCUCCCAGCGUCCCCUGUGCAUACCCUCUGUACACAUAUGUAAGCGCACAUAUAUCAGAUGCGCAUUUGUCAAUGUACACAGACAAAGGCUUCAGCGACUAUGCUUCUAGGUAAUAGAACAGUUGAGUACGACUUCAUUGUUCCUCAAGUUCCUUUUAAGCAUUCAUACAGUCAUUAAAACACACCCAGAGAUUCUGCCCCAAAUUGGGAAUAAUAACAAGUACAACUCACAGGAAUCACGCACAAGCCAUAUUCUUCCUCAGGAGAUUCACUGCAAUGAGAACAACUUCAUCUCCUGUGCCAUUCUGCUCAAUGUGCUAAAAUCAUCAAGCCAGUUAUGUCUCUGAAUUCCAGGGCUUUCGGUUUUAAACAUCAAACAUCUAGAAUUGCCCCUCAGAACACACUGUAUUCCAAAUCAGUAACCUGUCUGUUGGAUUUUGACCAGUUAGUGGAUUAUGAUUAUUCAAAAUUUAUAGAACAAAACUGUGACUCCAUCAUACACUCUUUGCACCAAGAAAAAACUGUAGACUGGUAAUGCAACCAGGUUUAUGAACAAGAUAUUUUACACAAAACAUGUUGAGCUUCAGGAAACAUGAACACAAAGAGUAAAUUAAUGACCAUAGGAAAGCAUCCUUGAUAGUUUAAAAAAUCGGAGUGAUGAAGGAUUAAAAAAUAAUAAACCAUACAUAUAACUGACAUGUAUAGAUUGCACUUUGCACUCAAUACCCUUUACACACAUGGGGAGAAUACGAGGUAGGAACUAAAUGAAGAUGUAGGCAGAUAGGCACUAGUUUAUAGGGAAGGAAAGAUUCUCCUUAUGCUUCAUUCUUGAAACCUCCUUAGCCCUCACCCUUCCUCCGCUGAAAUCACAUAUUUCACUAAGGCUGCAGGUGCUGGGAUUAUUUGGAAGUUGUUAAAAAAAAAAAAAAAAAGAACUAUAGUGGACACUGAGCUAUCAUAAACCUGGUGUGUAAUGAGAUUGCCAUAGAGCAAAGCCAGGCAGAAAAUUUCAGGUUGAUUAGAGACACAAUAUAACUUUCUCCUAAAGAGGACGAGAAGGAUGGAAAAGAAAUCAUUUCGGAGAAGGCUGUGCUUUUUUUUUUUUUUACUCUUUUUCUUUUCAACCUCUAUGAUUUGAGGAAUUUCCUAAUGCUACAAAUGUCAGUAGAUUAGGGGCAAACUCAGCAGAGAUGUGGUAGGGCUGAGGUUGAGAUAGAAAAUCUAAUGGGCAUCCCCAUCUCAAUUUAAUAGAAGAUAUAACUGAUUAUAAGGAAAUCCUAAACUCGCCUCUUGGGUGCAGACACUUCCAUGGCAAGAGCACCUUUUACAAACAUGCAGUCGGAAAUUUUUGAGGAAGAAGAGCUUCUCCAGGACACUUUGAGAUUUUUGGUAUUUGAAGUACGCUCUGAUGGCUUCAGAUUUAAAAUGAAGGAUUUCCCAACCAUCUCCUACAGCUCUGGAUCCUGAUAGGCAUACAACCACAGGGCUGCCAAUAAGUCAGAGGUGUUUUACUCUGUAUUUUAGGACUCAUUCAGUUAUGGGGGUGCUAUUAAAAAGCCAAAAAACAAAAACAACAAAAAAAUGACCAUUUCAAUUGUAGUUAAUUUAUUGUAUAGAAGAAGAGAGAAGACUGCAGACUGAGAAGAAAAACAAGGAGAAAAUAUUUUAAAAUGUCUUCUUCUGAGAUGCUCAUAUUCCUUGAUUAAAACAGCUCUAAGGCUAAAAGAUAAAUAUCAAUAUGUUGUUACUGUUUUUUUUUUUUUAAGAAAAUCCAGCCCAGUCUUUUAUUGUAGAUGUAAAUUUAUUUUAAUGAGAAGAAUGGCAAGCUUUAAUUUGGCCGGAGAAAGUUGAAAAAACAUUUGUUUUACUGUAGGGGGAAAAAAAGCCACCCAGGAAUAUGAUUUUCUUCCAGAAAGUGGCUGUAAUUCUCCACAAAUUAAAUCAUAAUAUGAAUACAGACCUCAGCAAAUGUCGAGAUUAACUCUGAACUCAGUAGAAACCAGUUCUGUCCACCAGGAUUCAUUGAAUUCCUCCUUCCCCUCAAUCUAGUCCGUGUGUGUUUUUCUCUUCCACCACACUGGAGCUCCAUGAAUAGAGAAAGGGGCUUCCAUUGUGUCUCUCUGAACUUCCAAGUCAAUGCAAUUUUUAACCACUGGCUUGUGGUACUUUGAAAAUCACCAGGGGCUGUCAGAGUUGGGUCCUCUGAAAAAUUUACAGUGCUAAAUCAGAGCAUAUGCUGGGAGGGAAAAAAUUGCUUAAGAUUGGAGCAAGUACAGUAUCUGUCUGCCCCCUAGUGUAAGAGUCCUCGCUGCCUAAAACGCAACUUUAAAAGAAAAGAGCUCUUAAAGGGAAACGACUUUGAGCUCACGUAGGCAUAGCAGAAUGAAACUUCUGUACAUUUUAAUCUGAAUAAUUCUUCAGGGUUUAAAAUUAAUUGGCUCUGGCUUGGUUGGACCGGACUCCGAUCUCGCCACCUCUGCGUUUCCUGAGUCACUGCCGGAGAGGUGAUGAUUUUUUUUUUUUUUUUUCUGAACUGGGUUUAUGCGCGUCCCCCUCACCCCCUCCUCUCUUUUUUCUUUCUCUGUCUCUGUCGUCUCUCUCGCUGGCUUUUUAAAAAUGAGGAACCGUUCCUUGAACGUUCUGGACAGAGCACAGAAUUGCUUAAGUCAGCCCGACACGGUUGUAAUAGACAGCAAAAAGGUAAACGUUUGCCUGAAAUCCGCACGCCAGCUCCACUACCCCGCCCGAUGGGAUAACCGGUUUCUAAAACAUUGUGGAAUUCAAGGCUCCAUAAUGGAAUCAAGAAGUCAGGAACGGCUCCCUUGGAAGGAAGCUUGGAGGACACUGGUCCAACUUCCCACUGAAGCCAGAGGUCUGGAAAUGGGCAGACGGUCAGGCAGACACCGAUUCAGCAUUUUCAAGAGUUGUAAAUUCAAGGCAGGUAAUGUAAAUAUGUGAAGGUCUGGGUGAAGGUUGCCAGUUAGCCCUGGCCAGCCACCUAAGAGAUGGGAGGGAUAGGGUUCCCUUUCCCCCAGGCUACCACUAUUGGGAGCUUUUUUUUAGAAAGUUUUGUUCCUUCUGUGGGAACCAGAACGGUGUCCCUGGAGCAUCUUUCUACAGAGUUGGAGUCUGUCCUCAGAAGCAACAGAGUUGAAACACCUCAUCCCUACAUCAUAUGGCAGACUUUCAAAACCUUGAAGGUACCCCUGCAGCAAUUACCUAUUAGAAGCGGAGGAAGAGGCGGUCUGUGAGCGCAGGGGCCACCGGUAGGUAAUAGGAUCCGUGGUUGUUGUGGGUGUAAAGUACUAACACUUUUUUUUCUGUACGCGAGCCUCUCACU